UACGUAGGGUGCAAGCGUUGUCCGGAAUUAUUGGGCGUAAAGAGCUCGUAGGCGGUUUGUCGCGUCUGGUGUGAAAAUCCAGGGCUUAACCCUGGACCUGCAUCGGGUACGGGCAGACUAGAGUGCGGUAGGGGAGAUCGGAAUUCCUGGUGUAGCGGUGAAAUGCGCAGAUAUCAGGAGGAACACCGGUGGCGAAGGCGGCUCUCUGGAACGCAACUGACGCUGAGACGCGAAAGCGUGGGGAGCAAACAGG
rnacentral:rRNA from 1 species